rnacentral:rRNA from 1 species
UGGGGAAUAUUGCGCAAUGGGGGCAACCCUGACGCAGCAACGCCGCGUGCGGGACGACGGCCUUCGGGUUGUAAACCGCUUUCAGCAGGGAAGAUAGUGACGGUACCUGCACAAGAAGCCCCGGCUAACUACGUGCCAGCAGCCGCGGUAAUACGUAGGGCGCGAGCGUUGUCCGGAAUUAUUGGGCGUAAAGGGCUUGUAGGCGGUUGGCCGCGUCUGCCGUGAAAUCCUCUGGCUUAACUGGGGGCGUGCGGUGGGUACGGGUUGACUUGAGUGCGGUAGGGGAGACUGGAAUUCCUGGUGUAGCGGUGGAAUGCGCAGAUAUCAGGAGGAACACCGGUGGCGAAGGCGGGUCUCUGGGCCGUUACUGACGCUGAGGAGCGAAAGCGUGGGGAGCGAACAGG